rnacentral:lncRNA from 1 species
AUAAUUAUCUAUAUACCUCUCAAAAUUUUAAAAAUAUCUCAUUUAUUUUUUUUUUUCUUUCUAAUAUAUCCAUCAUAUGUUUCUCCGUUAUUCCAAAAUACCCCCGCAGUUACCACCCGUUAAAUUAACUUGGGUUAAAUGUUAGUUAAAUAUCUACUAGAGUUAAAAAAAUCAAAAUGCCUCUUUUUCCCUUAAGGGUAAAUAAAAAAUGUUGGUGAUGGUAUAAGGAUAUAUUUGAAAAGACUAAAGAAUAAAAUAUUUUUUGUGCUUCUAACUUAAGAGCAGAUAAGAAAAGUUGGUGAUGGUACAAAGGUAUAUUAGAAAGGAUAAAAUAGUAAUUUUAUAGAAAUAAUAGCUGUAACAGAUUUUAAGUCUGGGAAUAUAUUUGAAAUAGGUUGAAAUGUAAAAAAAGUAUUUUUAAUAUUAAUUUCUAAGAAGGAUAAAUUAGAAAGUCGAAAACUUAAUAGUAGUGUUGCUGCGACGAAAUUUCUUUUUAUAGAAAAAGCGAAAGUCCCAAAAAAAGACUUUUUUUUCCUCUUCAAU